UACGGAGGGUGCGAGCGUUGUCCGGAAUCACUGGGCGUAAAGGGCGCGUAGGUGGCGCGGGAAGUCAACGGUGAAAGUUCGGGGCUCAACCCUGAAUCGGCCGUCGAUACUCCCGGGCUCGAGCACUGUAGAGGCAGAUGGAAUUCCGGGUGUAGCGGUGGAAUGCGUAGAGAUCCGGAAGAACACCGGUGGCGAAGGCGGUCUGCUGGGCAGUUGCUGACACUGGAGGCGCGACAGCGUGGGGGAGCAAACAGG
rnacentral:rRNA from 1 species